AUUGAACGCUGGCGGCAGGCCUAACACAUGCAAGUCGAACGAGUGGCGGACGGGUGAGUAAUGUCUGGGAAACUGCCUGAUGGAGGGGGAUAACUACUGGAAACGGUAGCUAAUACCGCAUACCAUCGGAUGUGCCCAGAUGGGAUUAGCUAGUAGGUGGGGUAAAGGCUCACCUAGGCGACGGUCCCUAGCUGGUCUGAGAGGAUGACCGGCCACUCUGGAACGGUGACACGGUCCAGCCUCCUACGGGGGGCAGAGGUGGGGAUUAUUGCACAUUGGGCGAAAGCCUAAUGCAGCCAUCCCGGGUGUAUGAGAAAGGCCUUCGGUUUGUAAAUUAUUUUCAGCGGGAAGGCGUUACCCGCAGAAGAGGCACCGCUUACCUCCGUGCCAGCAGCCCCGGUAAUA
rnacentral:rRNA from 1 species